ACCUCCCACCCGUGUCUAUCGUACCUUGUUGCUUCGGCGGGCCCGCCGUUUCGACGGCCGCCGGGGAGGCCUUGCGCCCCCGGGCCCGCGCCCGCCGAAGACCCCAACAUGAACGCUGUUCUGAAAGUAUGCAGUCUGAGUUGAUUAUCGUAAUCAGUUAAAACUUUCAACAACGGAUCUCUUGGUUCCGGCAUCGAUGAAGAACGCAGCGAAAUGCGAUAAGUAAUGUGAAUUGCAGAAUUCAGUGAAUCAUCGAGUCUUUGAACGCACAUUGCGCCCCCUGGUAUUCCGGGGGGCAUGCCUGUCCGAGCGUCAUUGCUGCCCUCAAGCACGGCUUGUGUGUUGGGCCCCCGUCCCCCUCUCCCGGGGGACGGGCCCGAAAGGCAGCGGCGGCACCGCGUCCGGUCCUCGAGCGUAUGGGGCUUUGUCACCUGCUCUGUAGGCCCGGCCGGCGCCAGCCGACACCCAACUUUAUUUUUCUAAGGUUGACCUCGGAUCAGGUAGGGAUACCCGCUGAACUUAAGCAUAUCAAUAAGCGGAGGAAAAGAAACCAACAGGGAUUGCCUCAGUAACGGCGAGUGAAGCGGCAAGAGCUCAAAUUUGAAAGCUGGCCCCUUCGGGGUCCGCGUUGUAAUUUGCAGAGGAUGCUUCGGGUGCAGCCCCCGUCUAAGUGCCCUGGAACGGGCCGUCAUAGAGGGUGAGAAUCCCGUCUGGGACGGGGUGUCUGCGUCCGUGUGAAGCUCCUUCGACGAGUCGAGUUGUUUGG
rnacentral:misc_RNA from 1 species